CUUUGGGACAAAGACACAAGAAUGAGAGUCACAUAAGAGUCAGUGAGGUCAGAUUUGACCAGGUGAUGCAGAGAUCAGUAGGAGGAAAAGUACCUUUCCCAGGGCAACAGAGCCUGUGUCCGCGCUGACGGCAGAGGGAGAAGAGUAAACCUCCACACAGAGAGCGAGAAGUAUCCGACCGCGGUAGAAGAUCCCUUCACCCAGACCCUGGUUCAAAGCCUGCAAAAGAGAGAGGUCGUACCAUUCCGGGUGGGAUCAGAAAUUUGCUGCAGGUCCAAGAAGUGCGUUGCCAGGGCGAUGUCUCCCA